rnacentral:piRNA from 1 species
UGUCACUGAAAUGCAGAAGCUGGCCCAU